ensembl:lncRNA
AUGACUCCGGCGUGUUUCACUAAUGUCAGGCCAAAAAUACGCCGCCGAGAGCUGCUUCAAACUAGAGAACAAAAACAGGGCUCUUUCCUGGUUUUAUUGAUCAGAGUCGAGGAAAAGUCACGUUUAGCAGCAGAUGAAGAGCUAAUGACUGAAACACCACCAGAGAUCAGCUCUGAAGAAGAUCCCAGACUCGUCUUUCUUCAACCUGAAAUCAGACGUCUUAAUGCACAUCCCACGAGGCCCGGCAGAGAGAACGAGCAGAAACACAAGAACGAAUAAAAGUCAAGAUAGUGUGGAGUCUGAGAGUUUGCUGGAGAACUAGGACAAAGCCAAGGAUUCAAAGAAACUCAGGCUUUUUCCAUAAAGAUCCUUUAACAUCUGAAGAACCUUGAAGUUUCACAAAAGCUUCUUUGUGACGAAUGAAGGUUCUGCAGAUUAUAAAAAGGUAAGAAAGAGAUGCUUCUUUGUGGAACCAGAAACGGUUCUUCUAUAGCAUCGCUGUGAAGAAGCUUUUAAGCACCUGUAUUUUUUAGAGUGUACUAAAAUGAAUUCAGAUAUUAAGUUUUAAAAAUUAUGAUAAAAGAAGGAGUGAGUUUGAUUAAAACAGAAAUAAACAUUCAAUCAAAACAAGAUUUUUCUGACUCCACUGGCAGAUUUGUUUCUUGUUCUUAACUAUGAAAUCAAUACAAAUGUUAAAUCUUAUUUUCAAAAAAAGUAGCAAUUAGCUGAGUCAGAAAAAAAACCUUAUUCAUAGAAAAAACAAGAUAAUUUUUCAGACCCCAAUGGAUGAUUUUUGUCUUGUUUUAAACAUAGGCUACACUCACUAAAGAUUUUGUCUCAUUUUAUUUAAAAAAAUAAAUAAAUUAUAUAUAUAUAUAUAUAUAUAUAAAUUAAGAGAGUUUGAACUUAUAUUUUCUUGUUUUAAGCAUGAACUCACUUAAGAUUUGGAGUCCUGUUUUCUGAAAACCACAUCAAAAUUAAAUGAUUUUAUGCAUAAACCAAAAAAAAAAUUGUUUUUGAAUUAAGUUUAUUUUUCUAACCCCACUGACACACGUGUCCUUGUUUUAAACAAACUCACUGAAGUUCACUUUAGUCUUAUUUUCUGAAAAGUACAUACGAUAAAGUGAGUUUAUGCUUAUUUCUUCUUGUUGCAAGCAUAAAAUCACUUCAUUUUGAUACAUUUUUUUAGAAAAUCAAUACGUUUUUAAAAUUUUAAAAAAAAAAAAUGAAGUGAUUUUAUGCUUAAAACAAGAAGUUGAUUUUUCUAAUUGUUCGUUUUAGUUAUAAACUCACUUAAGAUUUUAAGUCUCAUUUUAUAUAUAUAUAUAUAUAUAUAUAUAUAUAAAAGGUGUCAAAAUUAAGAGUUUGACCUCAUGAACUCACAUAAGAUUCGAAGCCCAAUUUUCUAAAAACUGCUUCAAAAUUAAGUGAGUUUAUGCUUAAAACAAGAAAGAAAGAAUAAGGUCAAACUCUCUUAAUUUUGACACUUUUUUUUUUUUAAAUGAGACUUAAAAUCUUAAGAGAGUUUAUGCUUAAAACAAGAAAAAAUAUCUGCCAAUAGUGAAUGAAAAAUGAACUCGUUUUUUCUUUGAAUUAAGUAAGGCUACUAAUCAUCCUUGUCUUAAUUAUAAGCUCACUUAAAAUUUUAAGCAUUAUUUUCUGACAUAUAAAAAUCAGGUCAUCUAAAUUAAGUAUUUAAGUAUUUAAUUUAAUAUUUGUAAUUCUAAGAGAAUGAUUUUUUGCCGUGUGUCAGCCUCGUGGGACGUGCCACUGUUUCUAAACGCUCGGGUUCAGAGCAAACCUAGCGCUCAUCAUCGAUCGCUGCGAUUACUCAAGGACAGAAAACUAGAUUCCUACCGAGAGGUCGUGACCCCUCCCUACCGCCAGCUGAUUUGCAUAUAGUUCACUUUUAACACCAAGUCACCACGACGACAACAAACGUGAACGAGCCGCUCCUCGUGGAAGAGAAGUUCAUCACAUGAUCAGGAGCCUCAUUAUUGGGCAGUAGUGCUACCUGACACACCGACACGUCAUCGUCUGCGAGGAAGCUAUAGUCUUCAUCACCUAUAGAAACACCACAAAACCUCACAGCCGAGAGAAACGCUACCAUUGGUUACGAAAGCAAUGCCGAAGACUUGGUUACGAAACGAUUUCACAGAUUAGCCGUCAGAGGAAGAUACUUCUGUUGAUUUACAUCGAGAAUAAAAAUAAUAAAACCCUGUCGCACAAAUAUACCUACAACGAAUCCGUUCUUAAAAUGCCAGAUCAGUGCGGAUUGUCACAAGAUUAGACUGAACGAUAAAGAAGCUUGUGCUGUAAUAAAUCAUUUUGUCAGAGCAUUAAUGAUGCGCUCACACCAUAUCGCAAAUAUUACUGCAAAUAUCAGCUUCUGAGUGACAAACAUCACAUCUUUACAAAAGAUUUUGUGACGUCAAAACAGGCAAAAUGUCAUUCAGAUUCUAGUCGUGUGCAUACGAUGCAUUUUAUAAACGCUUCAGCUUUCUUUAAGAGCACACAGAGCUAAAAAUCAAUGCUCUGAUGGAGCUUUUCACGGUUGCAAAAACUUCCAGAAUUUUUGGAAACCUUCCGGGAGUUUUUGGAAAGUUUUUGAAAAUUUACAGGAAACUUUCCACCCCUUUAGAACAACAAGAAAGCAACACAUAGAUUCGUUUUAGCAUUACAUGCAUUAUAAAUUAAAAAGCAUAAAUCCUGCACACUACUCAAGUUUGCAUAAUCAUAGAAAUUUUAAUGAGCAACAUUUUGGCAAAUCAACCUUUCUCAGGCAGCACAUCAUUUAAAUUGAGUACAAUCAGCUGUUAGUAAUAAAUAAAAAAAAAAAUGUAAAUGUGUUUAAUUUAAUCGGAGGCAAGGCGAUUUAUUACUAACAGCUGAUUGCACUCAAUUUAAGUGAUGUUCUCACACUUUUAUAUGGUUUGUAAGCCUAAGGGAGAUCAAUUGACUGAAACGUUGCUCAUUAAAAUUUCUGACCAUGCAAAACGUGUUCAUGUGUUUCUGUAAUUUAACUAGAAAAACUGACUGAUUGAUUGAUUUGGAUGUGCGAGGCA